AAAUAUUUUACCUUUAAGUUAACUAUCAUAGAAACCAGGUAUAUUCCGAAUUGUACAUGUAUUACAUUUCAAUAUGGCAAUUUUCAACCAAUGUUUCAAUGCUUGUAGUGAAGAAUCGAUGAUCAGAUGGUACAAAAUGAAAAAAAAAAACAAGUUAACUUAGUAAUUGUAUGUGCCCGAAUCCUUUUCUGGAUUAAGCAUCAUCAGGAACGGCCAAAACCGAAUACUUGAAAGCUGAAGAUGUAUGAAAACCAAAACUAUUUAAGAGUGACUGAUAUUAAGAUUAACCCCUGUUUUUAUGGUUAUCUUAACAAAGUAUAUUUCGGAGUUUUUAUUCAAACUCAUUGCUCAAAAUGUUCUUAAUAUAUUGUUCUUUCUCAAAAAGUUUCAUUUCUGCAAAUUUGUUUGUUAGUUUACAAAAAAAUCAAUGACAUCACAAUCGCUAUCUUUUGUUAUGGAAUAGUGACAUAGUUUUGUUAUUUCAUUCCACAGACUAUUUGCAGUGGCGGAUCCAGAAUUGGGGGCCCACUGACUGACCUAAGAGGGGGCCUGCUCCAGUCACGCUUCAAUGCUUCCCUAUAUAAGCAACCAAUUUUUUUCCCAAAAAAGGGGGCCCCAGGCCCCCUGCCCCCCUUAAAUCCACGUCUGAUUUGCCAGUCAAUAGUUUCAAGGACUAUUACUCCGGUUAAUAGUUUCAUAAUCAUCUUUCCCGUACUUUUUCAUGCUUAUUUUUCAUUGGACAAUAAUGAUGUCAUUGACUAUUUUGCUUGGCAACGUCAAAUUCUGAUAUUGUAAACGGUAUAAUCUGUUUGCGUCGAUUGUGAUUUCACUAACAAUUAUAAACUAAAAUCAGUUGAUCUAAAUGGACAAGUGUGAA
rnacentral:lncRNA from 1 species